rnacentral:lncRNA from 13 species
CUCGGAGCCACGAGCGCGUCCGCGGCCACCGGCGUCUGUCUUUGCCCCGGCGAGGGCGGCGUCUGCCACAUCUCUGACGGGCGGCCGGGCGGCCACGGAGAGAAAAGGCCGCCAGCAGCGGGAGCAGGGCCCGCGGAGCAGGCUCCGCCGCAGAGACGGCCGGGGUCACGGGGGUCACAUGGGUCACAGGGGUCACGGGGGCCACGGGGGUCACAGAGGCCACGGGGGCCACAGGGUCACAGGGGUCACAGAGGCCACGGGGGCCACAGGGUCACGGGGUCACAGAGGCCACGGGGGCCACAGGGUCACAGAGGCCACGGGGGCCACAGGGGUCACAGAGGCCACGGGGAUCAAAGAGGCCACGGGGGCCACAGGGUCACGGGGGUCACAGGGGUCACAGAGGCCACGGGGGUCAGAGAGGCCACAGGGGUCACAGAGGCCACGGGGGCCACAGGGGUCACAAAGGCCACAGGGGUCACAGAGGCCACGGGGGCCACAGGGGUCACAGAGGCCACGGGGUCACAGGGGUCACAGAGGCCACAGGGGUCACAGAGGCCACGGGGCCCAGGGCCGCGCCCUCGGACGUGCGUCUGGAGAAGACAGCACCCGGCCAGUGAGCAGAGGAGCAGGCGCGAGGCAAAGCGGGCCCCUGAGGGCUGAGAGCAGAGGCUCCGGGGGCGUCUGGACCCCACGCUCGCGGCAGCGCUAUUUCCAAGCAAUGGCCACAGGGCGAGCGCGCGAGCGGACGUGGUCCCCGCACCCCGGGGCUGUGGCUCCGCCUGGGGAAGGAAGGGGGCGCCGGCACCGGCCGCGGCGCGCGGGAACCGGGAGGCCGCUGUGCCCGGGAAACGGGCCGGUCCUGAGCCGGAGGCUGCGCGAUUCCCCCUCGGGGCCCCUCGGGGUCGGGGCCUCAGAGGCAGAGACUGAGAAGCGCGGUCGGGGUCCGGGGCGGGGGCUGCGGCGUGGGCGGUUACUGGGGACGGAGUUGCGGCCUUGAGAGGGCGGUGGUGACGGCGCACAGCCCCGCGAGUGUCCCUCACGCCACUUCUGCAGGGUUAAGACGGAAACAAUCCCUGAAGUUUUACCAUAAAGACAGACUGAAGGACAGAAAUGGGAGGAAAAGCAGAAGGGAGGGAGAGGAGGGAGAAGGUGGGAGGGAGGGAGGGAGGGAGGAGGGAGAAGGCUGGAGAG